rnacentral:rRNA from 1 species
AGUGAACGCUGGCGGUAGGCCUAACACAUGCAAGUCGAACGGCAGCACAGUAAGAGCUUGCUCUUACGGGUGGCGAGUGGCGGACGGGUGAGGAAUACAUCGGAAUCUACUUUUUCGUGGGGGAUAACGUAGGGAAACUUACGCUAAUACCGCAUACGACCUACGGGUGAAAGCAGGGGAUCUUCGGACCUUGCGCGAUUGAAUGAGCCGAUGUCGGAUUAGCUAGUUGGCGGGGUAAAGGCCCACCAAGGCGACGAUCCGUAGCUGGUCUGAGAGGAUGGUCGGCCACACUGGAACUGGGACACGGUCCAGACUCCUAGGGAAGGCAGAGGUGGGGAAUAUUGGACAAUGGGCGCAAGCCUGAUCCAGCCAUACCGCGUGGGUGAAGAAGGCCUUCGGGUUGUAAAGCCCUUUUGUUGGGAAAGAAAAGCAGCAGGUUAAUACCCCGCUGUUCGGACGGUACCCAAAGAAUAAGCACCGCUAACUUCGUG